rnacentral:rRNA from 1 species
CCUACGGGAGGCAGCAGUGGGGAAUCUUGCGCAAUGGGCGGAAGCCUGACGCAGCAACGCCGCGUGCGGGAAGAAGGCCUUAGGGUCGUAAACCGCUUUCAGGGGGGACGAAGCUUCCGGGGUUAAUAGCCUACGGGGUGACGGUACUCCCAAAAGAAGGUCCGGCUAACUACGUGCCAGCAGCCGCGGUAAUACGUAGGGACCGAGCGUUGUCCGGAAUCAUUGGGCGUAAAGAGCGUGUAGGCGGCCUAGUAGGUCUCGUGUGAAAUCCCGUGGCUCAACCACGGACACGCACGGGAAACCCCUAGGCUCGAGUCCGGAAGAGGGGAGCGGAAUUCCUGGUGUAGCGGUGAAAUGCGCAGAUAUCAGGAAGAACACCCGUAGCGAAGGCGGCUCUCUGGGACGGUACUGACGCUGAGACGCGAAAGCGUGGGGAGCAAACAGGAUUAGAUACCCUGGUAGUCCACGCCGUAAACGAUGGAUGCUAGGUGUGGGAGGUGUCGACUCCUCCCGUGCCGAAGCUAACGCAUUAAGCAUCCCGCCUGGGGAGUACGGCCGCAAGGCUAAAACUCAAAGGAAUUGACGG